CUACGGGCGGCAGCAGUGGGGAAUAUUGCACAAUGGGCGCAAGCCUGAUGCAGCCACGCCGCGUGUAUGAAGAAGGCCUUCGGGUUGUAAAGUACUUUCAGCGGGGAGGAAGGGAGUAAAGUUAAUACCUUUGCUCAUUGACGUUACCCGCAGAAGAAGCACCGGCUAACUCCGUGCCAGCAGCCGCGGUAAUACGGGGGGUGCAAGCGUUAAUCGGAAUUACUGGGCGUAAAGCGCACGCAGGCGGUUUGUUAAGUCAGAUGUGAAAUCCCCGGGCUCAACCUGGGAACUGCAUCUGAUACUGGCAAGCUUGAGUGUCGUAGAGGGGGGUAGAAUUCCAGGUGUAGCGGUGAAAUGCGUAGAGAUCUGGAGGAAUACCGGUGGCGAAGGCGGCCCCCUGGACGAAGACUGACGCUCAGGUGCGAAAGCGUGGGGAGCAAACAGGAUUAGAUACCCUUGUAGUC
rnacentral:rRNA from 1 species